rnacentral:rRNA from 1 species
AACGAACGCUGGCGGCAUGCCUAACACAUGCAAGUCGAACGAGACCUUCGGGUCUAGUGGCGCACGGGUGCGUAACGCGUGGGAAUCUGCCCUUGGGUUCGGAAUAACAGUUGGAAACGACUGCUAAUACCGGAUGAUGACGUAAGUCCAAAGAUUUAUCGCCCAAGGAUGAGCCCGCGUAGGAUUAGCUAGUUGGUGAGGUAAAGGCUCACCAAGGCGACGAUCCUUAGCUGGUCUGAGAGGAUGAUCAGCCACACUGGGACUGAGACACGGCCCAGACUCCUACGGGAGGCAGCAGUAGGGAAUAUUGGAAAAUGGGCGAAAGCCUGAUCCAGCAAUGCCGCGUGAGUGAUGAAGGCAUUAGGGUUGUAAAGCUCUUUUAACCGGGAUGAUAAUGACAGUACCGGGAGAAUAAGCUACGGCUAACUACGUG